rnacentral:rRNA from 1 species
CCUACGGGUUGCAGCAGUGGGGAAUAUUGCACAAUGGGCGCAAGCCUGAUGCAGCCAUGCCGCGUGUAUGAAGAAGGCCUUCGGGUUGUAAAGUACUUUCAGCGGGGAGGAAGGCGAUAAGGUUAAUAACCUUGUCGAUUGACGUAUCCGCAGAAGAAGCACCGGCUAACUCCGUGCCAGCAGCCGCGGUAAUACGGAGGGUGCAAGCGUUAAUCGGAAUUACUGGGCGUAAAGCGCACGCAGGCGGUCUGUCAAGUCGGAUGUGAAAUCCCCGGGCUCAACCUGGGAACUGCAUUCGAAACUGGCAGGCUAGAGUCUUGUAGAGGGGGGUAGAAUUCCAGGUGUAGCGGUGAAAUGCGUAGAGAUCUGGAGGAAUACCGGUGGCGAAGGCGGCCCCCUGGACAAAGACUGACGCUCAGGUGCGAAAGCGUGGGGAGCAAACAGGAUUAGAUACCCCGGUAGUC